rnacentral:tRNA from 1 species
AGGCGCGUAGCUCAGUGGUAGAGCGCUGCUUUGACGUAGCAGAGGUCAGCGGUUCGAUACCGCUCGUGCCUACCA